rnacentral:rRNA from 1 species
UUCCAGACUCCUACGGGAGGCAGCAGUGGGGAAUAUUGCGCAAUGGGGGAAACCCUGAUGCAGCGACGCCGCGUGAGUGAAGAAGUAUUUCGGUAUGUAAAGCUCUAUCAGCAGGGAAGAAAAUGACGGUACCUGAUUAAGAAGCCCCGGCUAACUACGUGCCAGCAGCCGCGGUAAUACGUAGGGGGCAAGCGUUAUCCGGAUUUACUGGGUGUAAAGGGAGCGUAGACGGUGAUGCAAGUCAGAAGUGAAAGCCCGGGGCUCAACUCCGGGACUGCCCUUGGAACUGCAUGGCUGGAGUGCGGGAGGGGCAGGCGGAAUUCCUGGUGUAGCGGUGAAAUGCGUAGAUAUCAGGAGGAACACCGGCGGCGAAGGCGGCCUGCUGGACCGCGACUGACGUUGAGGCUCGAAAGCGUGGGGAGCGAACAGGAUUAGAUACCCCUGUA